AUUAGACGAAUCAUCUGGAAAGAUGAAUCAAAGAAGGUAAUAAUCCUGUAGUCGAAAAUGUUGUCUCUCUUGAGUGGAUCCUGAGUACGACGGAGCACGUGAAAUUCCGUCGGAAUCUGGGAGGACCAUCUCCUAAGGCUAAAUACUCUCUAGUGACCGAUAGUGAACCAGUACCGUGAGGGAAAGGUGAAAAGCACCCCGGAAGGGGAGUGAAAUAGAACCUGAAACCGUGUGCUUACAAGUAGUCAGAGCCCGUUAAUGGGUGAUGGCGUGCCUUUUGUAGAAUGAACCGGCGAGUUACGAUUUGAUGCAAGGUUAAGCAGUAAAUGUGGAGCCGUAGCGAAAGCGAGUCUGAAUAGGGCGUUUAGUAUUUGGUCGUAGACCCGAAACCAGGUGAUCUACCCUUGGUCAGGUUGAAGUUCAGGUAACACUGAAUGGAGGACCGAACCGACUUACGUUGAAAAGUGAGCGGAUGAACUGAGGGUAGCGGAGAAAUUCCAAUCGAACCUGGAGAUAGCUGGUUCUCUCCGAAAUAGCUUUAGGGCUAGCCUCAAGUGAUGAUUAUUGGAGGUAGAGCACUGUUUGGACGAGGGGCCCCUCUCGGGUUACCGAAUUCAGACAAACUCCGAAUGCCAAUUAAUUUAACUUGGGAGUCAGAACAUGGGUGAUAAGGUCCGUGUUCGAAAGGGAAACAGCCCAGACCACCAGCUAAGGUCCCAAAAUAUAUGUUAAGUGGAAAAGGAUGUGGCGUUGCCCAGACAACUAGGAUGUUGGCUUAGAAGCAGCCAUCAUUUAAAGAGUGCGUAAUAGCUCACUAGUCGAGUGACACUGCGCCGAAAAUGUACCGGGGCUAAACAUAUUACCGAAGCUGUGGAUUGUCCUUUGGACAAUGGUAGGAGAGCGUUCUAAGGGCGUUGAAGCAUGAUCGUAAGGACAUGUGGAGCGCUUAGAAGUGAGAAUGCCGGUGUGAGUAGCGAAAGACGGGUGAGAAUCCCGUCCACCGAUUGACUAAGGUUUCCAGAGGAAGGCUCGUCCGCUCUGGGUUAGUCGGGUCCUAAGCUGAGGCCGACAGGC
rnacentral:rRNA from 1 species